UAGGGAAUCUUCGGCAAUGGACGAAAGUCUGACCGAGCAACGCCGCGUGUGUGAAGAAGGUUUUCGGAUCGUAAAACUCUGUUGUUAGAUAAGAACAAGGACGUUAGUAACUGAACGUCCCCUGACGGUAUCUAACCAGAAAGCCACGGCUAACUACGUUCCAGCAGCCGCGGUAAUACGUAGGUGGCAAGCGUUGUCCGGAUUUAUUGGGCGUAAAGCGAGCGCAGGCGGUUUCUUAAGUCUGAUGUGAAAGCCCCCGGCUCAACCGGGGAGGGUCAUUGGAAACUGGGAGACUUGAGGGCAGAAGAGGAGAGUGGAAUUCCAUGUGUAGCGGUGAAAUGCGUAGAUAUAUGGAGGAACACAAGUGGCGAAGGCGGCUCUCUGGUCUGUAACUGACGAUGAGGCUCGAAAGAGUGGGGAGCAAACAGG
rnacentral:rRNA from 1 species